GUGCUCUCUUCAGCAGCACAUAUACUAAAACUGGAAUGAUACAGAGAAGAUUAGCAUGGCCCCUACGCAAGGAUGACACGCAGAUUCGUGAAGCGUUCCAUAUUUUU
rnacentral:snRNA from 1 species